rnacentral:sRNA from 1 species
AUCAAAACAGCUGGGCCCUGGUCAUUAGGCUAUUUUUUAUGAAGCUUGUUAUACAGUAUAUGUGAUACAAAGAAAAAGGUGUGCUGUCUCAGAGGUGUAACAAUUGGUUUACAUUGACCUUGAACUAGUGUUGUUAAGGCGCACGUCUGAUUUUAAAGCUCUAUCCUUUAACUUUCCACAUUCCAGCAGUAUUGAGGACUGUCUUGAGGUUAUGUGAGAAAACAAGGUUAUGUGAGAAUUAUAUUUCUCACAGAUAAAAACGUAUAAGACUUUGCAAUCUGAUCUGUUAUUUCUGACAAGACUACGAAAAGUUUAAUAAACUCAUAAUUUUUUUAAGCAUUAGAUUAUCUACCUUUGCACCCACUGACAUUCUUCUUUUCUCUACAUGAUAAAGCAUUUGGGUUUUGCACUAGUCAUUGCUAAUAUAUAAGAGUUUCACUUUGAUGUUUAUAAAGUCCUGAAGUUUUAGGGCUUUUUAGGAGGUCAUACGGUUGUCACCCACAUGUGUAGAAUUUACUGCCAAGAACCUCCCCAGGUGGAUGGGGAGAAAAGAAAAACCGGGAGCAGCUGAGAUUGGGGAUUUUGAUGAAGCCUUGGACAGAGAGCACUUAGCAAAAAAUAAAUACAUACCUCAGCAAGACGCACUAGAGGACAAAAUCGUGGAAUUUCACCAUAACCACAUUGGACAAACACCAGCAGAAUCAGAUUUCCAGCUCCUAGAGAUUGCCCGUCGGCUAGAGAUGUAUGGAAUCCGGUUGCACCCGGCCAAGGACAGGGAAGGC